AUGCCCUACGAUGAGCGGUACACACCCUACAUCCAGCAGGCAGGACUCGUCCCGUGGAUUCAAUUGGUCAGCCGGUCCACGCCAAACCUCAACGCUCCACUGGUGACCUCUCUUGCUGAUCGGUGGAGGCCGAAGACACACAGUUUCCAUCUUCGGACUGGGGAGAUGACUGUGACGCUCGAGGAUGUCGCCUUGAUCACCGGGCUUCCUAUCGACGGGAAUCCUCUAUGCAUGUGCACCAAUUCUGAUGGGUGGCGCGAGCAGAUGAUUGUUGUUAUCGGUAUGGCUCCUACCGAGGCUGAGGCUGAUGUAGAGGAGGGAGAAGAGCAGAAGAAGAAGGAAAGGAAAGCUACCGGAGCUGCUUUCACGUGGAUUCAAGCAAUCUUUGCGCAUUGCCCUGCGGAUGCCACUGAUGAUGUGAUAGAGACACAUGCUCGUGUCUAUAUGUGGUACGUUAUCUCGAGGACUUUGUUUCCUGACUCGACAGGCAAGAACGCUCCAUGGAUGUGGCCGAAGGCGUUGACCGUCUUCGAUAGUGGAUGGAGCUGGGGUUCAGCGACUCUUGCUUACUUGUACUAA
rnacentral:rRNA from 1 species